rnacentral:rRNA from 1 species
AAUAUUGCACAAUGGGGGAAACCCUGAUGCAGCAACGCCGCGUGGAGGAUGACACUUUUCGGAGCGUAAACUCCUUUUAUAUCCCAAGAUAAUGACGAUAGGAUAUGAAUAAGCACCGGCUAACUCCGUGCCAGCAGCCGCGGUAAUACGGGGGGUGCAAGCGUUACUCGGAAUCACUGGGCGUAAAGAGCGUGUAGGCGGGUUUGUAAGUUGGAAGUGAAAUCCUAUGGCUCAACCAUAGAACUGCUUCCAAAACUGCUUACCUAGAAUAUGGGAGAGGUAGAUGGAAUUUCUGGUGUGGGGGUAAAAUCCGUAGAGAUCAGAAGGAAUACCGAUUGCGAAGGCGAUCUACUGGAACAUUAUUGACGCUGAGACGCGAAAGCAUGGGGAGCAAACAGGAUUAGAUACCCUGGUAGUCCAUGCCCUA